rnacentral:piRNA from 1 species
UGUGGAGCUUUGUGCCAUGGGACUG